rnacentral:rRNA from 1 species
UACGAAGGGGGCUAGCGUUGUUCGGAAUUACUGGGCGUAAAGGGUGCGUAGGCGGGUUUUUAAGUCAGAGGUGAAAUCCUGGAGCUCAACUCCAGAACUGCCUUUGAUACUGAAAGUCUUGAGUAUGGGAGAGGUGAGUGGAACUGCGAGUGUAGAGGUGAAAUUCGUAGAUAUUCGCAAGAACACCAGUGGCGAAGGCGGUUCACUGGUCCGGUUCUGACGCUGAGGUGCGAAAGCGUGGGGAGCAAACAGG